rnacentral:rRNA from 1 species
GACGAACGCUGGCGGCGUGCUUAACACAUGCAAGUCGAACGGAAAGGCCCUGCUUUUGUGGGGUGCUCGAGUGGCGAACGGGUGAGUAACACGUGAGUAACCUGCCCUUGACUUUGGGAUAACUUCAGGAAGCUGGGGCUAAUACCGGAUAGGAGCUCCUGCUGCAUGGUGGGGGUUGGAAAGUUUCGGCGGUUGGGGAUGGACUCGCGGCUUAUCAGCUUGUUGGUGGGGUAGUGGCUUACCAAGGCUUUGACGGGUAGCCGGCCUGAGAGGGUGACCGGCCACAUUGGGACUGAGAUACGGCCCAGACUCCUACGGGAGGCAGCAGUGGGGAAUAUUGCACAAUGGGCGGAAGCCUGAUGCAGCAACGCCGCGUGCGGGGUGACGGCCUUCGGGUUGUAAACCGCUUUCGCCUGUGACGAAGCGUGAGUGACGGUAAUGGGUAAAGAAGCACCGGCUAACUACGUG